GAUGAGCGCUGGCGGCGUGCCUAAUACAUGCAAGUCGAGCGAACGGACGAGAAGCUUGCUUUUCUGAUGUUAGCGGCGGACGGGUGAGUAACACGUGGAUAACCUACCUAUAAGACUGGGAUAACUUCGGGAAACCGGAGCUAAUACCGGAUAAUAUUUUGAACCGCAUGGUUCAAAAGUGAAAGACGGUCUUGCUGUCACUUAUAGAUGGAUCCGCGCUGCAUUAGCUAGUUGGUAAGGUAACGGCUUACCAAGGCAACGAUGCAUAGUCGACCUGAGAGGGUGAUCGGCCACACUGGAACUGAGACACGGUCCAGACUCCUACGGGAGGCAGCAGUAGGGAAUCUUCCGCAAUGGGCGAAAGCCUGACGGAGCAACGCCGCGUGAGUGAUGAAGGUCUUCGGAUCGUAAAACUCUGUUAUUAGGGAAGAACAUAUGUGUAAGUAACUGUGCACAUCUUGACGGUACCUAAUCAGAAAGCCACGGCUAACUACGUG
rnacentral:rRNA from 1 species